rnacentral:rRNA from 1 species
UUGGAGGGCAAGUCUGGUGCCAGCAGCCGCGGUAAUUCCAGCUCCAAUAGCGUAUAUUAAAGUUGUUGCAGUUAAAAAGCUCGUAGUUGAAUUUCGGGGUCAGUAGGUUGGUCAUGCCACUGGUAUGUACUGGCCUCACUGAUUCCUCCUUCCUGAUGAGCCGUAAUGCCAUUAAUUUGGUGUUGCGAGGAAUCUGGACUGUUACUUUGAAAAAAUUAGAGUGUUUAAAGCAGGCUAACGCUUGGAUACAUUAGCAUGGAAUAAUGAAAUAGGACGUUCGAUCUUAUUUUGUUGGUUUCUAAGAUUGACGUAAUGAUUAAUAGGGAUAGUUGGGGGCAUUAGUAUUCAAUUGUCAGAGGUGAAAUUCUUGGAUUUAUUGAAGACUAACUACUGCGAAAGCAUUUGCCAAGGAUGUUUUCAUUAAUCAAGAACGAAAGUUAGGGGAUCGAAGACGAUCAGAUACCGUCGUAGUCUUAACCAUAAACUAUGCCGACUAGGGAUCGGAUGAUGUUAAUUUUUUAAUGACUCAUUCGGCGCCUUACGGGAAACCAAAGUGUUUGGGUUC